GUUAAGGCAGAGGGUGGACAUCCUCUCCACCCCUCCCCCAAAUUAUAGAGUAUACAUUUAGUGCUAAUGCUAGAGUCAGACUGACUAGCUUGAAUCAUGGUCCCACCUAAAUUGUUUUAGCCUCAUUUUCUUUACAAAAUGAAAAGAACAGAACCUACCUUAGGAUUAAUCAUCAUGCAUGUACACUAUUUCAACAAUGCUCAAUAAACAGGAACUAGAAGUUACCAGUGUUUGCAGAAUCCUUAGAGUUUGCUAGGUAUCAUACAAAGUGCUUUAUAUAUAUUUACUAAUUAAUCCUCAGAAAAUUCCACAAGGUAGGUAUGACUAUUAUGCAUGCCUUUAAAAAAAAAAAAUUCAAUUAGCCAACGUAACAUAGUACAUCAUUAGGUUCAGAUUUGCAUGCUUUUUAGAUGAGGAAAAGCCUGAGGCAGAGGACAGUUGGUCAGUAGCAAAAUGGGGUUUGAACCCUGGAAUCCAGACAUAUUGCUGGUAACUACCACACUACCUGGGAAGAUAACAAGAAUCAUCCAUUUCUUUACCAAAUGGGUCAUACAGUGAAAUCAGAGCCAAGUGAAUGGUCUCUAUUCAUUUGCAAAUCACUUCUCUCCUCACCUGCUGUGGCAUCUGGAUGGGCAGUGUCUUACUCCCAAAUCCCUGGCAUUUAGCUCAGCUCUUGCUCCAUGAGUGGCAUUUAACUCAGCUCUUGCUCCAUGAGUGGCCAAGUCAAGGCCUUCCCUCAUUGACCUUUUCAAUCACCAUGCUGAUGAUGCUAUCUAAAUAUUGUUCUGUCCGGGAACACCACCUGGACAGAAGUCAUCCUAGAUUCCACUUUGACCCCAGUGCUCCUCGAGGUGAACAUUGUUAAAAUUUCAUGAAGUUAAGCCUCCUCCAGAUGGACAUCAUCCUCUUGAACAUCUGGAAAAUGUCAUUUUCUACUACUAUUUCUUCUUCUUUUUUUUAUAUUUAUUUUUUAUUUAUUUUCAGCACAACAGUAUUCAUUAUUUUUGCACCACCACCCAGUGCUCCAUGCAAUCCGUGCCCUCUAUAAUACCCACCACCUGGUACCCCAACCUUCCACCCCCUGCCCCUUCAAAACCCUUAGAUUGUUUUUCUACUACUAUUUCUUAAAAUUCAUGGAGCUCACUGAUGAUAGCUUUUUAGUCUUGAAAUGAACCUCAGUGAUAUCUUACAAGAGAGGAAAUAGGGAUCCAAAGCUGUGAUGUUACUGUCUGGAGCUUAGUCAGGGGUAGACAACAGACUGGAUCCCAGGACUCCCCACACUGUCCCAUGUACUUUUCAAUUUGCAUAUAGUAGGAGAAGCUGGGUAUUACAGAACUUACAAGAUGGACUUUGCUUAUAUGUCACAUAACAUUUGGGCUGAAGCUAAAAAAUCCAAAUAAAUAUUCAUAUAUUGCUUUUUUAACUAAUAGAAACCGUGGCUUUAUAAGUUUAUUUUGGGACUUCUCUAAGGACAUUUAUAGAAUGCUCAUGGGCAACAAAAUCAUGAUACUAUCAACGAAGGCACUUGGUGAUAUCUUAGUGAAAGUUCUGUACAAUCGGUCUUUUGUUUUGCACACCAUAAACCAAGUAAGUAUUCUGCAAAAGAUUAAAAACAUCUAAAAUAUUCAAAAGUGUAUUAUUUGUGGAAAUUUCUAGGCACCCAUGAAGCAAACCGAUAGUGCUUUGGAUAAACUCAACUGACUCCACUAAUGGAAAGCUUAGAAAAGAAGGUUUGAGUAAGGUUUGAAUCAAGAUCCAUUAAAAUAUUACUUUAACAGUUGAGCCAUUUGUGAAAUUGGAUUUUCAAACAAAUGACUGCACCAUAUUUUGAAAUGAGGGACUUUCAGGUUUACUUAGAAAGGAAGAAAUUUGUGAAUUUAGGGGAAAGAUAUUUUCUCAAUGACUCUACUGAUAGUAGUCAAAGAUACCAAUGAUGAUCAAUUAAUCAAUAUCAGGCAAUUACUAGGUAUAUGACCCAGAUACAACCUGUCAGUCCUUCAGGGCUACCUCUGUCCUUUGUACCUAGAUUCAGUAUGGAAAUAAUCUCACUCUUAAAGCGUUUGUAGCCUAUAAACUAACUGUAGGUAGGGACACUGCCUGUUUAAAUUUUUUUUUUUUAAGUGGUAAGACCAAUGUCACAUAUGAAAUGAGUGGCAGAUCCGGUACUAGAACUAAGAUUCUUUGAUUCCAAGAUCUGUGGAAAUAAAGAGAAAUCAACCAAAUGAGGAGCGCAAGGCUGUUUUUGCUGAACCUGAUACUGCAAAAGAAUCCUUCACCAUCACCUCUGUUUCUACAGAGACUCAAAGACAGGCAUGGGAGUGGGAAAGCAUUUUAGUGGGAAACAAAGAAGGCUUUGGGUAGGUCCUUACUGGAGACCAGAGGCACCGGGAAGAUGCAGGGAGGAUCCUUCAAAGCUGAGUAACCUGUAAGAUUGGGUGGGGCACAUAUUUGGCUUUCUCUGGUUGGUCUUUCUUUGGAAGUGAGGAUGAAAAUUAGCAAAGCUGUCAGUUAUUAAUCAAGCCCUGGCUAUUUUGGGCUGAUGGUUACAGGAUUUGUUUGCUGUACUAGCUGCUAGAGAUAGUGGUCUCAUUUCCCCCAGGUCUAACUUAUAAGUAGCAGAUUGGAUUCCUGAGCUGGUUAUUGGGGGUCAUGGAUUGGUUUCUCAGGCUGGUUGCUGUGGAUUAUGGAUCAGAAUUCAUAUGGGUUUAGUCUCACCGUCUUGGGACCGAGGACCUUGCAUGCUUGGCCAUGAACUCACCAGAGGGAACGCUGGUCAGGGAGAGGCCACUUUGCAAACAUUUCCUAAUUGACUUACUGCCUUGGAGCCAGUCUAGAACACAGCAAUAAGGGUGAUUAAAAGACCAGAAGAACUGAUUUAUGAUGAACAAUGAAGAAUAGAAUAUGAUCUGAAGUUGGCCAAACAGAGAUCCAGAGGCGGACGGCCCAACCACCUUUAGUUAACUCGCAGAGCGUGGAGAGACAAAUUAUUUCACUUGGCAGUUUGAGGCUUCAAAAGAACAAGUUGAUUUUUUUUUUUUUUUAAUGAAGAAAAAUUCAGUCAAGCAGAUUGAUUCUUGAGGCCUAUGGGCUGUCCCUGAAAGUGGACUCAAGGUUGCUGCAGGACCAAGGUUGAGAGCAGAGAAUGAUGUUCUGCCAUGUUCAGGAAAUAAACCAAAGUCUUCUUCUACCCCUCUGCUCCCUUCCUUCUCUCUCCCAUGGUACAUCUGCUUCUAAUAUAUGAUUUUGGGAGACUUCACUGUCUAGGAAUAAACUGAGAAUCUGCAACAUUCAACUUGCAAGAAAAAGUACAACCUGGUUCACUGUGCAGGAGGCUCCCUGUCAAAGAGAUUCUCUAUUGAUCACAGGUGCCAAAUUGGGCAUUUUGUUAUGAUUUGUUCUUCGAGGUUUUUAGAGGUAACUCUUCUCAGGUUUGUGAAAAUGUAGAGUAAUCAAAUCAACAAAAUAGCUCACAGAUUCUUUUUUUUUAAAUUAUGUUAUGUUAGUCACUAUAAAAUACAUCAUUAGUUUUUGAUGCAUUGUUUCAAGAUUCAUUGUUUAUGCACCACACCCAGUGCUCCUUGCAAUACUUGCCCUCCUUAAUACCUACCACCAGGCUCACUUAACCCCUCACUCCCCUCCCCUCCAAAACGCUCAGUUUGUCUCAGAGUCCAGAGUCUCUCAUGGUUCAUCUUCCCCUCUAAUUUCCCCCAAUUCACUUUUCUUUCCUUCUCCUAAUAUCCCCCAUGUUAUUCCUUAUGUUCCACAAAUAAGUAAAACCAUAUAAUUGAUUGUCUCUGCUUGACUUAUUUCACUCAGCAUAAUCUCUUCCAGUCCCAUCAUCCAUGCUGAUGCAAAAGUUCUGUAUUCAUCCUUUCUGAUGGCUGAGUAAUAUUCCAUUGUAUAUAUGGACCACAUCUUCUUCAUCUGUUCAUCUGUUGAAGGGCAUCUUGGUUCUUUCCACAGUUUGGCUAUUGUGGACAUUGCUGCUAUAACCAUUGGGGUGCAUAUGGCCCUUCUUUUCACUGCAUCUGUAUCUUUGGGGUAAAUACCCAGUAGUGCAAUUGCUUAUGGAUUCUUAUGUUUCAAAAAUGGGUUUUGGUUCAAUUUUUAUUUAUUAUUUAAGAAUAUACAUUUCUCACUGGGUGCCUGGGUGGCUCAGUGGGUUAAAGCCUCUGCCUUCGGCUCAGGUCAUGAUCCCAAGGUCCUGGGAUUGAGCCCCACAUCAAUCUCUCUGCUCGGCAGGGAGCCUGCUUCCCCCUUCUCUCUCUGCCUGCCUCUCUGCCUACUUGUGAUCUCUGUCUGUCAAAUAAAUAAAUAAAAUCUUAAAAAAAUAUAUACGUCUCUCAACUAAAGAUAAAUUACAUUUCUUACCUCCAAAUCGUUCAUCAAUUUGUGAGUGCAUUUACCUAAAAUCAUUAAGUGAGUAAUUACUAUGUAUACCUUAUACUUUAACUAGUUGGUAAAGAGAAAAUUGUGUGUGUGUUUUGUUUUUGUUUUUUGUUUGUUUCUUAGCAGCUCUCUCCUCCCUAAGAAUAGGAACACAUUAGAAUAAAGAUCCUGAGAUGCUCAUGCUCCAGGCAGAGACUGGUGAACACAACGCCCUGGGGCCAAAACCGUGAUCAGGUGGGCUCCUGCUCUGAAGUUUCUGUUGUUAGGUAACAUCUGCUCACAGCCUAGUUGGGCGUCUUGUAGACUGAUUUUUUUUGUUGUUUUGUUUUUUUUAAUGAAGCUCUAUGCAAAUUUGCCUUCUAUCCUUGUUUAUGCAGCAGCUGCACUGACCAACCUGUAAGCAUCCUUGGCUUGCCCAAACCGAGAAACAAAUAGUAUAUGCACCGAAGAACAGGGCUAACAGUUUCUAAUUCAUUCUCCUUAAGCCUUUGCUAAAAGCAGUAGCCAGGGAGAAGACAAGUUAACGGCUGCCUUCUGGGACUGAAAUUAACCCAAGUACCACCGAGGCUGGUAGGACAAUGGAGCCAACCUCUUUGGCCUUCAGAAUGAAGUCACCUCACCUGGGGAGAGAGAAAAGGUUAAAAGAAAUAGAAGGUAUGACCCUUGUCUGUAAAGAGCUAAUGCUAAGACUAAAGGGGCAAGGGGUCCCAAACUCUUCCUUAUUACUAUUAUGUGGCUGAAUUCUCAUCUUUGUAAGGAGCCCUGGGACUCUGGUCAGGGAGGAAUUCUGGGGCUUAGGGCUGUGUGGGGAAUGGUGCUGCCUGCCCAUGACCCUAGUGGAAGUCAAUGAUACUGACUCAGACAGAGUUGAACUUGAGAACCAUUGGAAAAAUGAACACUUUCAAAUCCCAAAGCACAGAAUCUGCAAAAUGGGUUUAUUUGAUGGAAUUGAUAGGUUUGAAGGCUGAAGGUUCAGAAGAGAACCUGAAGACCCACAGGUGAGAAGAGAGCCUCUGAAAAGAGCUGUGGUCAUGACUGUAAGUGGAGUUUGCUGUGGGGGUAGUGAGGGAGAAGGGCAGGAGACAGGCAUGCACACACCUGAUUUGGGUGCAAAGCCUCAACACUACCAUGUUGGAUAACUCCAGGGAGUCCUAUUCAUUGUGUUCUAAGGGAAUGGUACCCCUAUUAUUGGGAGGGGGUAUGCCGAAGCACUGAAAAGAUGGUGACAGGGUUACAGGGGUGCAGAGGGAGAGACACAGCUAUUCAGAAGUGUUUGGGAAGAAUGUUGGAGGAGAUAACAUCCAAGCUAAUUCAUGGUGAUGCAGAACUAACUAAAAGGAGAGAGAGAGACACACACACAAAUGUCAGGCAGAGGAAAAAGCAGCUGGGGAUGUAAGGACAUCUGAGAGAGCAGGUUGUCCUGGGCAAGGCCUGUAGAACAACAGAAGGGAACACUCAGGUGUAGUAGUAGGAGUGGAACAGAGGAGGCAGGGCAGAGGUGACCUCCCCUAUGGAGAUCAUAGUAGGGUUUGGGCUUUGUUUGUUGUCAUGGGAAAGCCGUUGCAGAGUGAUAUAGGAAGCCAUGGCCAGUGGUAUAGAGGACAGAUCUGGGUGAAACCAGGGGCAGGGGACCAGUUAGGAGGCUGUUGAAAUAACCCAGCCAGGCAGCAAUGAGGGUCUGGAAAAAAACCAUCAGGGACAGGACCUCUGCUCUCUCCUUCAUGCUUUUGCCUGUGUCCGUCUCCUUUCAGCUGAAUCAGAUUGAGCGUCUUUCACAUUUUUGCCAUCCAGGCCACUCCUGGCUAGCAUGGAAAUACCUAGAAAUAUUUUAUUCUUAACUUGCUUGGGCAUAGAGGUUGGCAAGUACCUAGAACCACAGAGCCUGGCACAUCCUUCAUCAUCUGGCAAAAUGACUCUGCCUUAGGAAGAACAGCGGCCACAUCAUGACUCUUUUUGUAUUUCUAACAAACAGUUCUCCUUUAGUGGGGUUGAUGAAUUUGAGAAAAUUUCGGAGUAGUAUGGAAAGGUUAUGCGGAACAUAUAACAUAUCCCGCAGGUUGAGAACCAGAUAGAUUUUAAGUCAGAGACUCUAAUCAUGUGUGAUAUUACAGGGAGCGAGACACAAAAAAAUAUUAUGGCAGGUCCCAAGCACAAUACCCACCACAAUCUUCUGAGUUUACAGCUCUCCCACCAGAUACCUAAUAUAUAAGAUUGCCGUGCAAUGCUAUAAAAGGACUUACACAGUCUAUUCUGAAAAACUGAUACUUCAAUAAAGAAGAUAAGUGGAGAAACCAGGAUAUAAGAAAACAUAUAAAAAACCUUUAGAAGGUCAAUGAAGCCUGGGGAGAUAAAAUUCAAUAGUUCAGGGACAGAAACAAAAUGGAGUUUUCUUUGUUUUAGAUAGAGAAUACAAGGCGCUAUUUGAGGUUAUAGCUGUAGUUGGACUAGUCCCUUGAAAGAGUGCAAUUUAACAAGCCAGCUAGGAAUCUGAUACCAUCCGCAUAAAGGGAACGGAUAACUUCUGCUGGCUUUUCUCCAUGAUGGGAAAUGUUCCACCGGCAAGGAACUUUGGAGGACAUGGAAAAUGUUUUGUCUUGUUUUGGGUGGUGGUUACAAGGGGCUGGGGUACAUUUAGCAAAACUCAUCGAGCUGAACAUUUAAUAUGGAUACAUUUUAUUGAGAUCAGUACACCAAUAAAAAUAAUACAAAUAAUAAAAAGAAGCUGAAAAGGAGAAGAAAUAGUUUGUCACUGUCUCAGUGGCAAAUUAAUGGCACUGGCUAGUGGGGCAAGUGAUAUUUGGAGUGCUUAGGACCUUAGGAGGGCAAACCUAGCCCAACCAGACCAAUUGCUUGGAGGAGGGCCAAAUUCAUUUUAUGAAGCAAGGGAGCUGAGGUCAUCUACAAGCAGUGCAUAGGCUGGCUAGACUGCAGGCACUAUUAUACCUUUGCUUCUCAGGCUAUGUACAAAGCUAAUUAGGUCUCUGUGAAUUUGGAAGCCAGUGUAGGGAUAGCUAAUAGGUUUCAUUUCCUCUCAUCUGUGAAUCACACACAGAAUCCUGGGCUAAUGAGGACUCCAAGAUCUCCUCCAUGUCUGAAGAGGAGAAUCAGCAUUGAUGAGUGACAGCUGUUGAGGGUGUAGUCGGGUGGAUUGAAGGUGUGUGUGCCAAGUAUUUACUAACCACUUCUUGCCUAAUUCUUUGAAGGGAGAGUGGGAGUUCGUUUCUUAAGGCCGCUAGGAAAUUUCUCCAGUUGUAGGAGUAGUGACUAUGGUGAUGCUGGGAAUGUUCAGGCACAUUGGGUCUUCAGAUUAGAUUCUAUGUCUUUCAGAAGUUUUGGAAGGUGAAGCUGGCUUGAGAGAGCCAAACAGCAGGACUGAAGCACCAGCCUGAAGGGGCUGGGCAGGAGUUGAAUCCAGGUCCAUGAAAAGUCAGAGAGAAUGGGGGAAGAAUAAGUGAGUGUUGACUAGUUUUGGAGAUGGCUCUGGUGGUCAUAUAACCCCAGAGGUUUUGUGGGAGAUGCCACUGUUUCCCACAUUGUGCUCCUGAGAGCACGGAGGCCCUGAUAGUCCUCAGACAAGAGGGAGUUUUGUUCUCAAGUCACCAGUGUGUGGAAGUCUGGAAAGAAAGGACCUGUGAGUGUUUUGGUGGGAUGGUAUUGAUUAGUACCAUCUUUAAUUUGGACCAUCAAUAAAAAGCCCUGGAUUAUUGAAUUCUGGCUCCUUCAACCAUUUUUUCCUUCCUUGAGGACAGAUGUGGUGCCAAGACCUGAGGUCUAGUAGUCAGAUAUGAGGGAAGGACAGAGAAGGGGGUGAAUGCAGAGAUUUGUAGGGAUCCAGAAGGGAAAUACCCACUUUGGGCACUAUCUCCUGCACUGUUGGCCAUCUUAUUUCUCCAACAGCUCAUCAUCUUUUCUAGA